rnacentral:rRNA from 1 species
AAAUUGAAGAGUUUGAUCAUGGCUCAGAUUGAACGCUGGCGGCAGGCCUAACACAUGCAAGUCGAACGGUAACAGGAAGAAGCUUGCUUCUUUGCUGACGAGUGGCGGACGGGUGAGUAAUGUCUGGGAAACUGCCUGAUGGAGGGGGAUAACUACUGGAAACGGUAGCUAAUACCGCAUAACGUCGCAAGACCAAAGAGGGGGACCUUCGGGCCUCUUGCCAUCGGAUGUGCCCAGAUGGGAUUAGCUAGUAGGUGGGGUAAGGGCUCACCUAGGCGACGAUCCCUAGCUGGUCUGAGAGGAUGACCAGCCACACUGGAACUGAGACACGGUCCAGACUCCUACGGGAGGCAGCAGUGGGGAAUAUUGCACAAUGGGCGCAAGCCUGAU